GGACCCCUCUCUCGGUGCUGGGAUGCGGCUGACUCUGGGGCGAGGCGGGUGAUACAGGGACCCCUCUCCCAGUGCUGGGAUGCGGCUGGCUCUGGGGUGGGGCUGGCUCUGGGGCAGGGCGGGUGAUACAGGGACCCCUCUCCCAGUGCCGGGACGCGGCUGACUCUGGGGCAGUGCGGGUGAUACAGGCACCCCUCUCCCAGUGCUGGGAUGCGGCUGGCUCUGGGGUGGGGCUGGCUCUGGGGCAGGGCGGGUGAUACAGGGACCCCUCUCCCAGUGCCGGGAUGUGGCUGACUCUGGGGCAGGGCGGGUGAUACAGGGACCCGUCAUCCAGUGCUGGGACGCGGCUGGCUCUGGGGCAGGGCUGGCUCUAGGGCAGGGCGGGUGAUACAGGGACCCCUCUCCCAGUGCUGGGAUGCAGCUGGCUCUGGGGCAGGGCGGGUGAUACAGGGACCCCUCACCUGCUGCUGGGAUGCGAGGGCCUCUGAGUUGGGGCCGGCUCUGGGGUGGGGCGGGUGACACGGGGACCCCUCGCCCGGCGCCGGGACGCGACUGGCUCUGGGGCGGGGCGGGGGGCCGGUUAUCGCGGUUCCCAAGCACAGGGAGCCAGGG